rnacentral:piRNA from 1 species
UGACCUUUUCCUCAGAGGUGACUCUUUUCC